rnacentral:rRNA from 1 species
UACAGAGGUCCCAAGCGUUGUUCGGAUUCACUGGGCGUAAAGGGUGCGUAGGUGGUGAGGUAAGUCGGAUGUGAAAGCUCGGAGCUCAACUCCGAAAUGGCAUUGGAAACUACCUUGCUCGAGGGUUGGAGGGGGGACUGGAAUACUUGGUGUAGCAGUGAAAUGCGUAGAUAUCAAGUGGAACACCAGUGGCGAAGGCGGACGUCCUGGACAAGUCCUGACACUGAGGCACGAAAGGC